rnacentral:lncRNA from 1 species
CGUGUGUACAGUAUGUUACUGUCCUCUGUUGAGGCUACAGGAAAUAUAAAGCACUGUGUACAGUAUGUUACUGUCCUCUGUUGAGGCUACAGGAAAUAUAUAGCACUGUGUACAGUAUGUUACUGUCCUCUGUUGAGGCUACAGGAAAUAUAAAGCACACUGUCCUACUGUCCUCUGAGGCUACAGGAAAUAUAAAGCACACUGUCCUACUGUCCCUCUGAGGCUACAGGAAAUAUAAAGCACACUGUCCACUGUCCUCUGAGGCUACAGGAAAUAUAAACCACUGUCCUACUGUCCUCUGUUGAGGCUACAGGAAAUUAAAGCACACUGUCCUACUGUCCUCUGUUGAGGCUACAGAAAUAUAAAGCACACUGUCCUACUGUCCUCUGUUGAGGCUACAGGAAAUAUAAAGCACACUGUCCUACUGUCCUCUGAGGCUACAGGAAAUAUAAAGCACACUGUCCUACUGUCCUCUGAGGCACAGGAAAUAUAAGCACGUGUACAGUAUGC